AUGCGCACGGAGGUUAUCAAGGCAGACACCAUUGAUGUGGCCGUUGAAGGAAUUCUCAAUGAACUCAAUAAAAGUAGACAGAACAUCAUCUACUUCGAUGGCUGGGAAGGACUGGGGGCAUCUGCCGUCCUGCAAGUCAUAGCUCGGCGCUUGGAAUUAAAGGAACCGACUAGGCCUCCUGGACUGGAUUUUGAGCAAGUCAUCCACAUCGACUGCUCAAAGUGGGAGAGCACAAGAGCACUCCAGAGAGAAAUCGCAGAGCAGCUGAAGCUUUCCAAUUGGGUGAUGAAGAUGUUUGACAAGCAGGAUGAGGAGGAUGAUUUCAAUGGGACUACUGAUCAAGGCUCUCGCACUGAGAUAGCAGAUGUUGCGGCAGAGAUCCAGAGGAGCAUGCAGGGCCGCAGGUUUUUGUUGGUUUUUCACAAUGGAAGCAAUGAGGAGAUUGACAUAUCCAGAAUUGGUCUUUCGGUAUACCCCUAUUUGACCAACAAGGUGAUAUGGACCUUCCAAGGGAGGUUUAGGAUGGACCCCAAGAUGAAAGACAAGGUCAUGAAGAACACAACAGAUGUUCUUCUCUCAGCUUCAUGCUAUAAGAAAGAUCGAGAAGAGCUCUGGUCCUAUCUACUACAUCAAGAGGCUACACAAGUUGCUUGCAAGCAUGACAUCAGUCCUGCAAUAGUUGUCGAGUGUUUCUUGUAUUUGUUGGGACUAAAUUGCAUCCGCGGCCAUCUUGUGGACACUGAGUAUGAUUUGGCUAUACAUACUUGCAACUAUUGGAUAUGUGAUCGUAUCAUACAGAAAAUCCCAGAUAGUGGUGAAGAAGCAUGGCAAGUUGGUCAGACACUCCAGGGUGAGAUCCGACUGGGUAUGUGUUACCAGCAGAAUGAUUUGACCCCUCACUUGGUAAUGCAUACUGAGAAAAGGCCACACUGGACUUCACCAGCUUAUGGAUAUGUACUGGUUCCGGCUGGAGUUGUCCCUAGUAGAAUGUUUCAACAUAUUGACAAGCUUGGCGUGAUAUCAAGGUGUAGCUUCAGCUUUUCAUGGCCCCCGUUUAUGUGGUGCCACGGCCUUAGAUUUCUAUGGCUUGACCACUGCCAAGACUUAAGAUCCACAGAUGCAGAAUGGAGGAAAGAUGAGGAAGACACCACUAGGUCGUGGGCAUGCUUCCAAAGCUUGUGGGUUCUUGACUUGCGCUACACUGAUUGUGAUUGGAUUUUGUCCGCAAGGGUGAUGGAUCUCAUGACCCAGCUCAGGGAGCUAAACGUAAUGGGAGCUGAGAAUUGGGACAUGAGCCAUUUACGGGGACGGUUAUGUAACAUUCGCAAGCUUCGGGUAAGAAAGUCCACUUGCUUCUUCAGCAAUAAUGUGUUCUCUGAGAUGGACAGUAUGGAACUUCUUGAUUUUUCAGGAAAUACCAUCACACAAGGCAUGACAAGCUUAUCUGGGCCAGCCAGCAACAGUAGCCUGAAGUGCGUCACUAUUGAUGGAUGUGAUGGUUUAAAAAUCAUCUCUUUCAGGGGCUGCAAAGAAUUGGCGAACGUGUUCUUGAAAGGAUUAUUGAGGGGUCUUGAGGAGCUGGAACUCUCAGGCACAAGAGUGAAAACCCUCAACCUGACUGGAGUGGAAGCCAGAUCACUCCCCAAGCGGAUCAUCCUGCUAGGCUGCGAGAAGCUCCGUGCAAUAUUGUGGCCACCAAGUGUGACACAGUAUCAGUUGCCCAAUGUGCUGCACAUUGACACCACACCUCCAUCAGCAACAGCUUACGGAGGGGAGGCACCACUUGUGCAUCCACAUGUUGGUCUAUCCCUCCAACAGCAGAAAGAAGAAAUAUUUAAGAGUGGAUGGCGAAUUCGUGUCACGGAUGCAAGGCUCCUUAGGUCCCUCUCUGCUGGAUUCUCAGCCCUACAUAUUGAUAUAUGUACGGCAGCUGUUGUUGGUGGUAGCAACAUCCAAGGAACAAGCAGUAACAAACUAGUGCAAGUCCAACCACAUACAAGCAUCUUAAUGCACUCGAAGUACAGUGAUACCUUUGGUAAUGACACAGUUGCUGCAGUGAUUAUGGAGGACUGUCCCAAGAUAUGGCAGUCUUUCACCAUACAUACAUGUUUCAUGAAGGUGAUGAUGCACGGGCAGGGCAACAAACUCUUGGAGGAUGCUGUUGGUGCUAGUACUAGUGCUUUGUUAUUGCCCAAGUGUAUAUGUGACUUGGUUACAUCGCUGCACGUGUAUGAUAACUUGUCCAUCACUAGCAUCCCUGGACCUCCCCAAGGAUCAGGAUGGCAUAGACUAAGAUGGUGCCGCGUGGAGAGAUGCCCCAGGUUACACACAGUCUUCACUGUCCCCCAUGGCACUAGCGAGGACCUUGGCGAGGACAGCUUUCGGGAUCUGGAAACAUUAUCGGCGUCCAAGCUCCUCUAUGCACUAUACAUCUGGGACAGGCAAGUUGAAAAAGGUUAUUUGAAUUCCCUGGUGUUAUUGCACCUGGACCACUGCCCCAGGCUCGUACAUGUGCUCCCCUUCGCCAUACGGACAAAACACACCUUGUAUUACCUUGAGACCCUUGAGAUAGUGUACUGCGGUGACCUCAAGGAGGUAUUCCCUCUCCCUUUGAGCCCUGAGCUUCAAGAGCAGAAUAAAAUUCUAGAAUUCCCCAGUUUGAAGCGCAUCCACCUGCAUGAGCUCCCAAAGUUGCAGCGCAUCUAUGGGCGUAGUAUAUCUGCACCUUACCUUGAGACCGUCAAGAUCAGGGGCUGCUGGAGCCUUAGGCGUCCUCCUGCCGUCGGACGCUACACCGAGCCGCCCAAGGUGGAGUGCGAGAAGGAAUGGUGGGACAACCUAGAGUGGGACGGGUUGGAAGAGUACCACCAUCCUUCGCUCUACGAGCCGACCCACUCGUUGUACUACAAGAAGGCCCAGCUGCCAAGAGGCACAGUACUCUGGUAA
rnacentral:rRNA from 1 species